AGAGUUUGAUCAUGGCUCAGGACGAACGCUGGCGGCGUGCCUAACACAUGCAAGUCGAGCGGGGUGGUUCUGAAGGGCAACCGGAGGGAUCACCUAGCGGCGAACGGGUGAGUAACGCGUGGAUAACCUACCUCAAGGUCUGGGAUAACAGCUCGAAAGGGCUGCUAAUACCGGAUGUGGUGCAUAUGCUGCAUGGUAGAUGCACUAAAGGGGAAACCCGCCAUGAGAUGGGUCCGCGUCCCAUCAGCUAGUUGGUGGGGUAAAGGCCUACCAAGGCGACGAUGGGUAGCCGGCCUGAGAGGGUGGACGGCCACACUGGGACCGAGACACGGCCCAGACUCCUACGGGAGGCAGCAGUAGGGAAUAUUGCGCAAUGGACGGAAGUCUGACGCAGCGACGCCGCGUGAGCGAUGAAGGUCUUCGGAUCGUAAAGCUCUGUCCUUGGGGAAGAAGGCGAAAGCUUGACGGUACCCAAGAAGAAAGCCCCGGCUAACUACGUGCCAGCAGCCGCGGUAAU
rnacentral:rRNA from 1 species